rnacentral:rRNA from 1 species
UACGUAGGGCGCGAGCGUUGUCCGGAAUUAUUGGGCGUAAAGAGCUCGUAGGCGGUCUGUUGCGUCGGCUGUGAAAACCCGGGGCUCAACUCCGGGCCUGCAGCCGAUACGGGCAGACUAGAGUUCGGCAGGGGAGACUGGAAUUCCUGGUGUAGCGGUGAAAUGCGUAGAUAUCUGGAGGAACACCGGUGGCGAAGGCGGCGUUCUGGGACGGCAUCUGACACUGAGAAACGAAAGCCAGGGGAGCAAACGGG